GAGAAAAAGCUCCCAUGUCUCCAGUCCAUUGGGAAGAGGUGCAAAAGGCCAAUGGAAAACCGGAAGAUAGCAGCCUCCAGAGCUGCUGUGAUGACAGAUGGGCACCACCAUACUCRGCGACAAUUUCUUAAUCAUUAAGAAGCCAGUGAAUAACCCAGUGUGUCUGCCUGGGUGAGAAGACCUGGAGACCUAAAGGGAACAAGAUCCCCUAGGAUAUUGCUGAGGCCUGGGACCUCACCAUGAAGAUGGAGUCACACACAGAGUUGGGAAGACGCAUCAGGAGCCCUCCCUCCCAGCCGGCUGCCGGAGUGUCUAUGAAAACCAUCAGGAGGACAGGGAGGGGCAGGGGCCAGGAUCCUGACUCUCAGCUGUUCC